rnacentral:rRNA from 1 species
AGUGAACGCUGGCGGUAGGCCUAACACAUGCAAGUCGAACGGCAGCACAGUAAGAGCUUGCUCUUACGGGUGGCGAGUGGCGGACGGGUGAGGAAUACAUCGGAAUCUACUUUUUCGUGGGGGAUAACGUAGGGAAACUUACGCUAAUACCGCAUACGACCUACGGGUGAAAGCAGGGGAUCUUCGGACCUUGCGCGAUUGAAUGAGCCGAUGUCGGAUUAGCUAGUUGGCGGGGUAAAGGCCCACCAAGGCGACGAUCCGUAGCUGGUCUGAGAGGAUGAUCAGCCACACUGGAACUGAGACACGGUCCAGACUCCUACGGGAGGCAGCAGUGGGGAAUAUUGGACAAUGGGCGCAAGCCUGAUCCAGCCAUACCGCGUGGGUGAAGAAGGCCUUCGGGUUGUAAAGCCCUUUUGUUGGGAAAGAAAAUCAGCAGGUUAAUACCCCGCUGUUCUGACGGUACCCAAAGAAUAAGCACCGGCUAACUUCGUG